AGACCACUUCCACGAUUCAGCACGAACCGAGGAAUAACACGCAGAGACCGCGUUGUGCUUUUGGUUGUUUCCCUUGGAUAGCAAUGCGUGCGUAAUGCACGCCAAUGCAUACAAUAGUAGUCUAACCUUUAUAAAUCAUUACAUAAAAACAUAAUGAUAACAAAGGGAGCGUGGACCCAUUCUCAACAUCGCUUAUGUUUAUUAUAAGCUCUGAUAUGGGUAUCCGAAAUGGAGAACGCUAAACUAUUUACAAUAGUAGAGAAACUUGGAUACCCUUUUUAAGGUGCGUAAUUAAGUUUCCCCAUACGUUAUGUGUGUACUUUUACGCGAAAGCCCUUGCAAAUGGGAUGUUCUGCACUAAUAACACGAAAUAUUGUUUUCACAACAUGUCUAUAUACUUCACAUUUCACGCAAACAUCAUUACUCGGGAACAGCAUACGCUGUACUUCAGCGGUGAUGUGCCGCGCUCUCAGCCGAAACACCCCCGCCAUUUGUGAAUGGGCUCAUCCACUUACUGUAGGAUCUUAGGAGUUUGGUGCAGUGUCCAAUGAAAGUGUGUUACAGUGAAUCAAGCCAUCUAUUGGUGCAAAGAAUGAUCAAUCAUUAAUUUAUCGGUUGAUAUGCUUCCAUAAAUGAAGAAAGGGUGGAAUGAAAAUAUUGUAAUCUGGAGGGAAAAUGUAGUCUCCAUAUUCUGUUUUGUCUAUUCUAAUGCUCACUCUCUAGCACAGUCAUUCUCUAUCUAACACACAUUGUAGCCACUGACACAAUUAUUUUUUUCAAGAUAUAAAAGUAAAUGUUUGUUUUAAUAUUCUUAUUUGUGUAUAUACAUGUGCAAUUUGCAAUGUUUAGUUUGUGCCUCUCUAUCAAUAUUUAUAAUUAAACUAGUGGAUACAACUUUUACCAUGCAUUUUAAUGCUAGUGUGUACGACCUUUUACGUUAACAUUUUGGAGAGGUCACUUGUGCUGAGUUACAUUUAAAGUACAAGCCCCUAAAUAAAUCGAGAUGGUUGUUUUAUGAAUAUUACAUCUUCCAUAAAAUGCUAUAAGAGGCUUUAAACAAAAACUGAUUGAUGUAGUCUGAAGCGCUCCAUUGUGGCCAAUACAACUGACCCGGUGACAAGGUGUAUGAAGUUUGUCAGAGGAGCAUCUGUCAUCGAUCAGAAGCGAUUAAUGCGAGCAACAGUGUCUUAUCAGCUGCCGUGAGCAUCACACGACCCCCGUUUCCCGCAGAAGAGCAGCGACAGGAUCCGGCGCGCACAUUUACAGGCAUGAAAUUACUAUCAAAUCCCCAAAGCGCUCGGCAAACCAAGGGUGCGCGCUGCGCGGGCGACGGAUCUGAUGUGGACUUAAACACAAAUGAAAGAAGGAUUCAUGCAACAGAUAUAUUACAGAUAUACGACUAGAACCACAGAUAAACACGCACGCGUUUGUCGUCGCUAUUGAAAGCAACAUGCCGCUGUGGUUCAGAAGUCAAACGGAGGUCAUCCUUUAUAUCCCCCCGCAGCAAUCCGCGACCAGGGGCCAGUCAGCAGUGAACCCUGCCUUCUCCACUACUGACAACUGCCUGAAACUUACAAGACUAUCGGGAAUGGGUAAGACGCGCUGGGAUAAAACAGCAGGCUAUAACUUUUUUCUUGAUCUUGCCACUGCCUGGUUAUAAUGCUCUUAGUGUGUUUCAAGUGUUUGCAAAAUGCGCAGUGUGUGAAUAUACAAAAUCUCCUAAUCGGUAAGCUAUUUAUUUAUUUGACUUUACUUGCGUUUUCCAAUCCAAGUGCAGCAGAGACGUUUUUCAACAAUUACUACAAUUAAAAUAACACGAGAUAAACAGUAUUUACUAUUGCGGGGAAAUUAAAUUCAUCACCUCGACAGCUUUAUAAAUGUACCGUGAUUACAAAACUCUCGCAUAAAAGAAAACUUUUAAUAGUUCAUAAAUAGGCCUAUUCGAGGCUACGUGAACGUGUUCUGCGUCCAGAUAUUUUAAGUAGGCUACAACUUGUGAGAAGAUUUAAAAAUGCCAAAUUACAUAUAUUACAGGUGUAGUUAAAGUUGGAGUAUUUGGGCUCUUAACUUUUGGUUGUUGUUGUUGAAGCAUUUUAAAUAAACCAAAUAAUGCGCUGUGUUGACAGUUAAGAUUGUUUAUUUUACGCUUAUUUAUAGUCAUAUUUAGAUUGAAUAUUUACAUAUAUAUUUUAUAAGUCUGUGUUUUUUAUAUAAUUUCGCAUUGUGCUUUUCUGAAAGUGCACUAUUUUGUUAUUUUAUUUAGCUUGACAUUGUUUUGAUUUCAACAUACUUUCCUUAAGAAAUACACUGCAGGACAACUGAAUCUGCAUUAGUGUACACUAAUACACGAGAUCUAAAAGAAAAAUAUUGCAUAUUUUGUCAUAUGCAAAGGCUUGCAGUGACCUGUAUGCUUGAUCAUGUGCGCCUUCUACUGGAAACAUAAAGAAUUAUUUUCCUUUGUUACUUAAUGAGAGACGUUUCUGUCAUAAAAGAAACAGGCGAAUUGCAUUCAAAACAUACUGCGCCGCUUCUAAAUAAAAGCUCCAAUUAUUAGUUUGUUAAUUAUGAUAAUCAAUUAUGAAAGUUUAAGUAACGGAAUUUGCAUUUCAAACUAUUUGACAAAGUAAUAUUUUGAUGACGGCUCAUUGAUAAAUCCGUCAAUGGUUAAUAUAUGGUAACCUGUACGCUUAUUUGUCUUAAAUAUAUAUUCCUCAAGUACGUAAAACGCGCUGAACUGUUUAUCAAUGAAGCACGAGAUGAGACUUUACAUAGCUUUUUCAUUUAGUAUAUGUGUAAUAAUUUUUGUGAUUAACAACACUGAAGACCGAUCGUCAGAAAAUGUCUCAUUUGUCCAGUUUUUACUGAAUUAAUUAGGCUAGUAAAAAUCAAGUAACUUAAAUUAACUUAUUAAUGUUUUCUGCGUACUUUUGAUUAUCCUGUUACUGACAAAAAAACAAUUAGGAACAAGUGAAAGAAACUCAAAUAAGACAAUUAAUUAAAAGAAAAAAAUAUUUAUAAUAAUAAUAAUAUAAACCGUGCUAGAUGUAAAUAAAUCAAAAUGAAUAUGAUUAAAAGUCAUGUCUCCGUUAAAAUGAACAAAAAAUGAACCACUGAAGACGAGAAGAGUCAACAUCACUUUACAAAUUACUAUCUUCACAAUUUACUAUCUUACAUUAAACUUUCAAAAAAUAGAUUAGUUGAAUUUACUAUAGGGAUUCCCGUUUUUUUUACAGCUUGCAAUAGCAGCUUAUCAGUGAAGCAUAAAGAAAAGCACUUCAGAGAAAUCAGUGUGUUGUUACAUGUAUGCAUCUGGCCUACUGAAUAUGUAAGGGUGUUGUUCAAAUGUUAUCAAUGCCACUAUCACUGCAAAUGUCAGAAUAUGAGAAUAAAUUUUAAAUCAACACA